GAUGAACGCUAGCGGGAGGCUUAACACAUGCAAGUCGAGGGGCAUCACGAUGUAGCAAUACGUUGGUGGCGACCGGCGCACGGGUGAGUAACGCGUAUGUAACCUGCCCUUUACCGGAGGAUAACCCGGAGAAAUUCGGACUAAUAUUCCAUAAAGAUACUUAGAGGCAUCUUUGAGUAUUUAAAGCUACGGUGGUAAAGGAGGGGCAUGCGUAACAUUAGCUAGUUGGGAGGGUAACGUCCUGCCAAGGCAAUGAUGUUUAGGGGACCUGAGAGGGUGAUCCCCCACACUGGUACUGAGACACGGACCAGACUCCUACGGGAGGCAGCAGUGAGGAAUAUUGGUCAAUGGGCGACAGCCUGAACCAGCCAUCCCGCGUGAAGGAAGAAAGCGCUAUGCGUUGUAAACUUCUUUUCCAGAGGGAUAAAAUGAUGUACGCGUACAUUACUGAAGGUACUCUGGGAAUAAGCAUCGGCUAACUCCGUGCCAGCAGCCGCGGUAAAAGUCACG
rnacentral:rRNA from 1 species